AUGGGACUCAGGAGACAGGAGGCAGGGGGAGGCCUGGGGGGUGGGGGCGGCCGCCGGGCAUCUGGGCCUCUCCCUCCCCUGGCACCACCGCACCCCGCACCCCUCCCACACACACCCUCGCCGGAAAGUUCCCCAGCCCAGGCCGGGCUCCCAGGCAGCUUGGCACCGUGCCAGGCUCGCCGCCGAGCGCGGGCAGCCGGGUGGGGCGAGCGGCGGCGGCACCGAGGACAUGGCCGGGCGCCCUGGGCGCGAGCAGGACCCAAGGCCAGGAGGCCGGGGCCCAGAAGAAGGCGGCUGGUCCCAGAGCACCUCGGAGAAAGCGGACGCCUGUCUUGGCCUUUGGAAGACGCUCAAGGACCACGUGGCCGGGUCCACGGUCUCUGCCCUGCGCCUCGAGGGCGAGGCAGCCCAGGUCUUGCCCUUCUUGCCGUCCACUUCGCCCCCAGCCGACGCCUGGAGCUUGAGGUGACUGAGCGCUCUCAGGCCAGCUCGGCCCUGGACCUGCUCGGCUCUGGACCUGCCCAUCUCCGUCAACGCACGAGGCCCCCGUGCCCCAGGUCAAGAAGUGGCGCCAAGGGGGGAGCUUCUGUCCGAGGCCAGCCUUCCUUCCGGCUGGACUUGGCCUGCACGAGCCACGGUCUGUGUCGCAGGGUGUCUGGAUGGAAGAGCAGCACUGGGCCCCGUCUCCCUCUCCGCCCUGAGGACCCGCCGUUCCUGGCUCCCAGGCAGGUGCGCCUGCCCCCCUCCCAACCCCAGGCUCACCCUGCCCCCUUCUCUCCACCCGGCCGGGCGCCAGCCCUCGACCUGCUGCCAGCUGUCAACAUGCGACGCACACAGGUGAGUGUUACCCGGGGCAGGAAAGGCUGGAUGAGGAGAACCAGUGACAUCUGCUUCUCCCAGACGGGGCUGGGGGCACCGGGGGCUUGCGGUGACGGCCGGGGUGGCCCAGGGUGUGUGAGUGUACGUCUGUGUGCUAUUUCUCCCCCCGCCCCCGCCCCCCGCCUCUCCUGA
rnacentral:lncRNA from 1 species